rnacentral:rRNA from 1 species
GGGGGCAGAUAACACAUGCAAGUCGAGCGGAAACGAGUUAUCUGAACCUUCGGGGAACGAUAACGGCGUCGAGCGGCGGACGGGUGAGUAAUGCCUAGGAAAUUGCCCUGAUGUGGGGGAUAACCAUUGGAAACGAUGGCUAAUACCGCAUGAUGCCUACGGGCCAAAGAGGGGGACCUUCGGGCCUCUCGCGUCAGGAUAUGCCUAGGUGGGAUUAGCUAGUUGGUGAGGUAAGGGCUCACCAAGGCGACGAUCCCUAGCUGGUCUGAGAGGAUGAUCAGCCACACUGGAACUGAGACACGGUCCAGACUCCUACGGGAGGCAGCAGUGGGGAAUAUUGCACAAUGGGCGCAAGCCUGAUGCAGCCAUGCCGCGUGUGUGAAGAAGGCCUUCGGGUUGUAAAGCACUUUCAGUCGUGAGGAAGGUAGUGUAGUUAAUAGCUGCAUUAUUUGACGUUAGCGACAGAAGAAGCACCGGCUAACUCCGUGCCAGCAGCCGCGGUAAUACGGAGGGUGCGAGCGUUAAUCGGAAUUACUGGGCGUAAAGCGCAUGCAGGUGGUUUGUUAAGUCAGAUGUGAAAGCCCGGGGCUCAACCUCGGAAUAGCAUUUGAAACUGGCAGACUAGAGUACUGUAGAGGGGGGUAGAAUUUCAGGUGUAGCGGUGAAAUGCGUAGAGAUCUGAAGGAAUACCGGUGGCGAAGGCGGCCCCCUGGACAGAUACUGACACUCAGAUGCGAAAGCGUGGGGAGCAAACAGGAUUAGAUACCCUGGUAGUCCACGCCGUAAACGAUGUCUACUUGGAGGUUGUGGCCUUGAGCCGUGGCUUUCGGAGCUAACGCGUUAAGUAGACCGCCUGGGGAGUACGGUCGCAAGAUUAAAACUCAAAUGAAUUGACGGGGGCCCGCACAAGCGGUGGAGCAUGUGGUUUAAUUCGAUGCAACGCGAAGAACCUUACCUACUCUUGACAUCCAGAGAACUUUCCAGAGAUGGAUUGGUGCCUUCGGGAACUCUGAGACAGGUGCUGCAUGGCUGUCGUCAGCUCGUGUUGUGAAAUGUUGGGUUAAGUCCCGCAACGAGCGCAACCCUUAUCCUUGUUUGCCAGCGAGUAAUGUCGGGAACUCCAGGGAGACUGCCGGUGAUAAACCGGAGGAAGGUGGGGACGACGUCAAGUCAUCAUGGCCCUUACGAGUAGGGCUACACACGUGCUACAAUGGCGCAUACAGAGGGCGGCCAACUUGCGAAAGUGAGCGAAUCCCAAAAAGUGCGUCGUAGUCCGGAUUGGAGUCUGCAACUCGACUCCAUGAAGUCGGAAUCGCUAGUAAUCGUGGAUCAGAAUGCCACGGUGAAUACGUUCCCGGGCCUUGUACACACCGCCCGUCACACCAUGGGAGUGGGCUGCAAAAGAAGUAGGUAGUUUAACCUUCGGGGGGACGCUUACCCC